CAGAGAAUAGUUAAAUUUUAUAAUUCUGGCUUUGGGAGCCAGAGAUGGGAGUUAAAAUCUCCUUUCUCUGA
rnacentral:tRNA from 1 species